UUUUAAGAGCAAAGAAUGGAUGCCUUGGGUAAAAAAGAGGAUGAAGGACGCGUUUGGCUGCGAUAAGUUCUGGCGAGGUGCCAAAGACCGCUUGGAACCAGAAAUUUCCGAAUGGGGAAACCUUUCUACUAUAAGUAGAAGUAAAAUACCAAGACCCUGUGAAUUGAAAUAUCUUAGUAACAGGAGGAAAAGAAAUCGUAAGAGAUUCCCUUAGUAGUGACGAGCGAACGGGGAGUAGUCCAAACCAAAUCAGUGUAAGAUUCUAGUCGUUGCUGGUUUAGGGGUUGUGGGGUUAAUUGGGGAGUAGCUAGAAAUGCUCCAAAGUGACAAUAUUUAUUUAAAAGAAAUGUCUGGGAAGUCGUACCACAGAGGGUUAUAGUCCCGUAUUUGAAAAGUAAAUAUGCCUUUAAUUAAUUCCCAAGUAGUGUCGGACACGAGAAAUCCGGCAUGAAUCUGGGCCGACCACGGUCCAAGACUAAAUACUUUUUUACACCGAUAGCGCAUAGUACCGUGAGGGAACGGUGAAAAGAACCCCAGGAAGGGGAGUGAAAUAGAUCCUGAAAUUCUUUGCUUACAAUUGAGUGGGAGUCCCACAUCUUUUAAUUUUGACCAUCUUAAAUUGUCAUGCGAUAUGUUUAUGUAUUACAAAGUCAAAAGGACAAUAGUUAUUAUAUUUGAUAUACUUCAAAUAUAUGACAAAGAUUGCAACAACAUAAUGAUUUAAAGAAUUCUUGAUAUACAAAAGCCAAGCAACCACGAAAUUUGAUUUAUUAUGAAGCUUUUACCGAUAAAUCAAAGGCAUUGCUUAGAGAAAAAAGAUUAAAAACAUGAAGUAAGGCUAGACAAGAGUUGUUUAAAAGAAUUAUGAGUUUUUAAAGUUAAAAGGUGUGGGAUGACCACGUACCUAUUGACGAAUGGGCUAGCGAGUUAUUAAUACUAGCAAGGUUAAGACAGAUAUAGUUGGAGCCGUAGCGAAAGCGAGUCUUAAAUGGGCGAUUUAGUUAGUAUUGAUAAACCCGAAGCGAUAUGAGCUAGGCAUGGGCAGGCUGAAGAGUCGCGAAAGCGGUUUGGAGGGCCGAACGGGUUGGUGCUGCAAAACCUUCCGAUGACCUGUGUUUAGGAGUGAAAAGCUCAUCGAAUAUCGCGAUAGCUGGUUCUCUCCGAAAUGCAUUUAGGUGCAGCCUGUAAAUUAGGUUCCAUAGAGGUAGAGCUCUGAUAAGGCUAGGGGUGUCGAGAGGCAUUACCAAACCUUGUUAAACUUCGAAUGCUGUGGAGAAUUUUACAGAGUGAGACUGCGGGAGUAAGUUUCGUAGUCAAAAGGAUAACAGUCCAGAUUUCUGAUUAAGGUCCCCAAAGUGUAGUUAAGUGGAGAAGGAGGUAUUUUUACUAAUACAUUCAGGAGGUUUGCUUAGAAGCAGCAAUCCUUUAAAGAAAGCGUAACAGCUCACUGAACGAGUUAGAGUGCGCCGAAGAUGUAACGGGGCUAAACUACAUACCGAAAUCGAAAGUCAUAUUUAUAUGGCGGUAGGAGAGUGUUCUAUACGGGAUGAAGCAUAACUGUGAGGUUGUGUGGACUUUAUAGAAGUAAGAAUGCUAGCAUGAGUAACGACGCCGAGUAAAAAUCUCGGCCGCCGAAACCCUAAGGAUUCCUACGCAACGUUUAUCGUCGUAGGGUUAGUCGAGACCUAAGAUUUUACUAGAAGUAGUAUGUCGAUGGAUAGCAGGUUAAUAUUCCUGCACCUAUUUAUACAGUGAUGUGGUAACACAUUGGGAUGUGUGAGAGCUUACUAAGGAUGUGAGUCGAGAUAAUAAGAUGAUCCCGAUUUGUCGGGAAGCAUAUGUAGGAAAAUCCGCAUAUGUUUCAAAUCGAGUUUGAUCGAAAAUGAUCUUUUCGGAGUGAUUUAUUCUCAUAGUUCUAGUGUCGAGAAAAACCACUAAGCUUAUGUAUAAAUAGCUCGUACCCAGAUCAGACACUUGUAGGGUGGUAGAGAAUACCGAGGCGAUUGGGUUAACUAAUGGAUAAGGAACUAGGCAAAUUAGCGGGCGUACUUUCGAAAUAAGCCCUGCCUGCAGCAAUGUAGGCCGCAGCGAAUGACGUGGGGGGGACUGUUUAUCACAAACACAGCUCUCUGCUAACAUGCAAAUGGAUGUAUAGAGGGUGAUGCCUGUCCAAUGCCAGAAUGUUAUGCUCUCUUGUGCAAGCUCGAGAGUUAAGCACUGGUGAAUGACGGCCGUAACUAUGACGGUCCUAAGGUAGCGAAAUUCCUCGUCAGGUAAGUUCUGACGCGCAUGAACGGCACAACCAUCCCCACACUGUCUUGUCCUUAGACCCAGUGAAAUUACAAUCCCGGUAAAAAUGCCGGGUAGUUGCAGUUAGACGGAGAGACCCCGUGAAGCUUUACUGUAAAUUGAUAUUGGGCUGUAGUAUGUGUUGCUCAGCAUAAGUGGGAGGCUUUGAAGAUUUACCUUCGGGUGAGUUGGAGCCAUCAUUGAGAUACCACUCAAAACAUAUCGCAUCUCUAACCCCGCUAUAUAGCGGGGAACAGUGUCAGUUGGACAGUUUACCUGGGGCGGGUGCCUCCUAAAAUGUAACGGAGGCGUACAAAGGUUUGCUUAUUACGGAUGGAAACCGUGAUGGACGUGUAUUCGCACAAGCAAGCUUAACUGUGAGACUGACAGGUCGAACAGAUAGGAAACUAGGUGAAAGUGAUCCGGAUCUUCCGUGUGGAAGGGGAUCCGCUCAACGGAUAAAAGUUACUCCGGGGAUAACAGGCUAAUGGUAUCUAAGCGUUCAUAGCGACGAUACCGUUUGGCACCUCGAUGUCGGCUCGUCGCAUCCUGGGGCUGUAGAAGGUCCCAAGGGUUGGGCUGUUCGCCCAUUAAAGCGGUACGCGAGCUGGGUUCAGAACGUCGUGAGACAGUUCGGUCCCUAUCUACUGUAACCGUAGGCAAUUUGAAAGACCCUGACCCUAGUACGAGAGGACCGGGUUGGACAAGCCUCUGGUAGUACCAGUUGUCGCACCAGCGGCACGGCUGGAUAGCUAUGCUUGGAAAAGAUAACCACUGAAAGCAUCUAAGUGGGAAACUUGUCUUAAGAUUAGAUUGCCCUCUCUUUAUGAGUUAAGAGCCCUGCGAGACUAGCAGGUUGAUAGGCAUUAUGUGUAAGUCUAGUAAUAGAUUUAGCAGAAAUGUACUAAUAGCUCGAGCGA
rnacentral:rRNA from 1 species